rnacentral:rRNA from 1 species
GACGAACGCUGGCGGCGUGCUUAACACAUGCAAGUCGAACGGAAAGGCCCUGCUUUUGUGGGGUGCUCGAGUGGCGCACGGGUGAGUAACACGUGAGUAACCUGCCCUUGUCUUUGGGAUAACUUCAGGAAACUGGGGCUAAUACCGGAUAGGAGCUCCUGCUGCAUGGUGGGGGUUGGAAAGUUUCGGCGGUUGGGGAUGGACUCGCGGCUUAUCAGCUUGUUGGUGGGGUAGUGGCUUACCAAGGCUUUGACGGGUAGCCGGCCUGGGAGGGUGACCGGCGACAUGGGGACUGAGAGACGGACCAGACGGCUACGGGAGGCAGCAGGGGAGAAUAUUGCAGAGUAGGGGGAAGCCUGAUGCAGCAACGCCGCGUGCGUGAUGACGGGCUACGGGUGGUAAACCGCUGUCGCCUGAGACGAAGAGUUAGUGACGGUAAUGGGUAAAGAAGCACCGGCUAACUACGUG